CAGAAAAUAGUUUAAGUAAAAUAAUAAUUUUGGAGAUUAUCGAUAAUAUAUUUUGUUUUUUCUGA
rnacentral:tRNA from 1 species